GACGAACGCUGGCGGCGUGCUUAACACAUGCAAGUCGAACGGAAAGGCCCUGCUUUUGUGGGGUGCUCGAGUGGCGAACGGGUGAGUAACACGUGAGUAACCUGCCCUUGACUUUGGGAUAACUUCAGGAAACUGGGGCUAAUACCGGAUAGGAGCUCCUGCUGCAUGGUGGGGGUUGGAAAGUUUCGGCGGUUGGGGAUGGACUCGCGGCUUAUCAGCUUGUUGGUGGGGUAGUGGCUUACCAAGGCUUUGACGGGUAGCCGGCCUGAGAGGGUGACCGGCCACAUUGGGACUGAGAUACGGCCCAGACUCCUACAGGAGGCAGCAGUGGAGAAUAUUACACAGUAGGCGGAAGCCUGAUGCAGCAGCGCCGCGUGCGGGAUGACGGCCUUCGGGUUGUAAACCGCUUUCGCCUGUGACGAAGCGUGAGUGACGGUAAUGAAUAAAGAAGCACCGGCUAACUACGUG
rnacentral:rRNA from 1 species